rnacentral:lncRNA from 1 species
AUGUACAGUCACAGUGCUUUCUUCGGAUCAUUUAGCAGGUCUGCACUCCCCCCCCUUGUGGGCGGUUUCUACUCAGGCAGCCAAUUCCUGGUUUGGAUCCCCCUGAGGACUCCAUGGACAGUGCUGGCAGCUCACGGACCUCCUCCUACCCACCGAACAAUGCCAAAGUGUUCUCAUGUUCAGUGGAAAAAGUGGGACCGGGCCAAGAAGACAGCUGAUUGCAAAUUCAUUUUCCAUGCAUGGAAUAAAUGGAAAAUGUCAAUGGAUCGUACAUCGUCCUUGGAAUUGAAGUCACAAAUGCGGCUACAGAAGCCCACGUGGUAUUGAAUAAACAAAUUCGUGGCUGGAAACAUGGUCCUCAGUCAUUACUUUUUCAAUUUCACAGAUGAGGUGGUGUGGGAGUCAUUCUUCAGGUUUCUGAAACUGGAGAAAAGCCUCCUCUCCUCACCUCCUACAUGGCCUCCU